CGCAGGGUAGAGCAGUUGGUAGCUCAUCGGGCUCAUAACCCGGAGGUCACAGGUUCGAGUCCUGUCCCUGCUA
rnacentral:tRNA from 1 species